CUGGUGGGAUUAGGGAAGAAUUUAGAGAUGUUGAGAGUCUGCGACUCAUCAUAGCUUGAAAGCAAGACAAUGAAAAGUUGAAAAAAUACUGGCAGUGGGGUCUGUUCUCAGUGGCAAUGAAGACAACAUUGAAACUAACUCAAAACCAGAGCUCAAGAGAAGUAGCAGGUUUCAGCUGACAGUGCUGGCAGGUUUGCUUCUCAAGCUUUGGAUAUUCUCAAAUACAUUUCCAAGUACGUAUUACUUCAAAGACCCAUUGAAUGAACACCAGGUGAACUGGUAUGCAGCUCUACCUGAAGCAUGUAGUGCUACUAGCAUUCCUCAAGCAAAUAACAUGAGUGCUUCAAUGUUUCCUGCUGCGUAAUACAACUUUUCA